rnacentral:rRNA from 4 species
UUUGCGGCGGCCAUGGCCCAGGUGAGACGCCCGGUCCCAUUCCGAACCCGGAAGCUAAGGCCUGGCACGGCGAUGGUACUGCACCCGACAGGGUGUGGGAGAGUAGCACGCCGCCGCAUC